rnacentral:rRNA from 1 species
CUCAACGAAUCGCAUGGCCUGCGCGCCGAUGAUUCAUCAAAUUCUGCCUAUCAACUUCGAUGGUAGUAUAGGUGACUACCAUGGUAUCAACGGGUAAACGGGGAAAUUAGGGCUCGAUUCCGGAGAGGGAGCCUGAGAAACGGCUACCACAUCCAAGGAAGGCAGCAGGCGCGCAAAUUACCCAAUCCCGACGCGGGGAGGUAGUGACAAUAAAUACUGAUACAGGGCUCUUUUGGGUCUUGUAAUUGGAAUGAGUACAAUUUAAAUCCCUUAACGAGGAACAAUUGGAGGGCAAGUCUGGUGCCAGCAGCCGCGGUAAUUCCAGCUCCAAUAGCGUAUAUUAAAGUUGUUGCAGUUAAAAAGCUCGUAGUUGAACCUUGGGCCUGGCUGGCCGGUCCGCCUCACCGCGUGCACUGGUUCGGCCGGGCCUUUCCUUCUGGGGAGCCGCAUGCCCUUUACUGGGCGUGCCGGGGAACCAGGACUUUUACUUUGAAAAAAUUAGAGUGUUCAAAGCAGGCCUUUGCUCGGAUACAUUAGCAUGGAAUAAUGGAAUAGGACGUGCGGUUCUAUUUUGUUGGUUUCUAGGACCGCCGUAAUGAUUAAUAGGGAUAGUCGGGGCCAUCCGUAUUCGAUUGUCAGAGGUGAAAUUCUUGGAUUCAUCGAAGACGAACAACUGCGAAAGCAUUUGGCAAGGAUGUUUUCAUUAAUCAGUGAACGAAAGUUAGGGGAUCGAAGACGAUCAGAUACCGUCGUAGUCUUAACCAUAAACUAUGCCGACUAGGGAUCGGACGGUGUUAUCAUUUUGACCCGUUCGGCACCUUACGAGAAAUCAAAGUCUUUGGGUCUGGGGAGUUGUCCCC